rnacentral:rRNA from 1 species
GACGAACGCUGGCGGCGUGCUUAACACAUGCAAGUCGAACGGAAAGGCCUCAGCUUGCUGGGGUACUCGAGUGGCGAACGGGUGAGUAACACGUGGGUGAUCUGCCUUGCACUUCGGGAUAAGCUUGGGAAACUGGGUCUAAUACCGGAUAGGACAGCUGUUUAGUGUCAGUUGUGGAAAGUUUUUUCGGUGCAAGAUGAGCUCGCGGCCUAUCAGCUUGUUGGUGGGGUAAUGGCCUACCAAGGCGUCGACGGGUAGCCGGCCUGAGAGGGUGGACGGCCACAUUGGGACUGAGAUACGGCCCAGACUCCUACGGGAGGCAGCAGUGGGGAAUAUUGCACAAUGGGCGGAAGCCUGAUGCAGCGACGCCGCGUGGGGGAUGAAGGCCUUCGGGUUGUAAACUCCUUUCGACAGGGACGAAGCUUUUGUGACGGUACCUGUAUAAGAAGCACCGGCUAACUACGUGCCAGCAGCCGCGGUAAUACGUAGGGUGUGAGCGUUGUCCGGAAUUACUGGGCGUAAAGAGCUCGUAGGUGGUUUGUCGCGUCGUCUGUGAAAUUCCGGGGCUUAACUCCGGGCGUGCAGGCGAUACGGGCUGACUUGAGUGCUGUAGGGGAGACUGGGAUUCCUGGUGUAGCGGUGAAAUGCGCAGAUAUCAGGAGGAACACCGAUGGCGAAGGCAGGUCUCUGGGCAGUAACUGACGCUGAGGAGCGAAAGCAUGGGUAGCGAACAGGAUUAGAUACCCUGGUAGUCCAUGCCGUAAACGGUGGGCGCUAGGUGUAGGGGGCUUCCACGUCUUCUGUGCCGUAGCUAACGCAUUAAGCGCCCCGCCUGGGGAGUACGGCCGCAAGGCUAAAACUCAAAGGAAUUGACGGGGACCCGCACAAGCGGUGGAGCAUGUGGUUUAAUUCGAAGCAACGCGAAGAACCUUACCAAAUCUUGACAUCCUUUGACCGCUCUAGAGAUAGAGUUUUCCCCUUCGGGGGACAAAGUGACAGGUGGUGCAUGGUUGUCGUCAGCUCGUGUCGUGAGAUGUUGGGUUAAGUCCCGCAACGAGCGCAACCCUUAAGCUUAGUUGCCAUCAUUUAGUUGGGCACUCUAAGUUGACUGCCGGUGACAAACCGGAGGAAGGUGGGGAUGACGUCAAAUCAUCAUGCCCCUUAUGAUUUGGGCUACACACGUGCUACAAUGGACAAUACAAAGGGCAGCGAAACCGCGAGGUCAAGCAAAUCCCAUAAAGUUGUUCUCAGUUCGGAUUGUAGUCUGCAACUCGACUACAUGAAGCUGGAAUCGCUAGUAAUCGUAGAUCAGCAUGCUACGGUGAAUACGUUCCCGGGUCU